AACGAACGCUGGCGGCAUGCCUAACACAUGCAAGUCGAACGAAGCCUUCGGGCUUAGUGGCGCACGGGUGCGUAACACGUGGGAAUCUGCCCUUCGGUUCGGAAUAACAGUUAGAAAUGACUGCUAAUACCGGAUGAUGACGAAAGUCCAAAGAUUUAUCGCCGAAGGAUGAGCCCGCGUAGGAUUAGGUAGUUGGUAGGGUAAUGGCCUACCAAGCCGACGAUCCUUAGCUGGUCUGAGAGGAUGAUCAGCCACACUGGGACUGAGACACGGCCCAGACUCCUACGGGAGGCAGCAGUAGGGAAUAUUGGACAAUGGGGGGAACCCUGAUCCAGCCAUGCCGCGUGAGGGAAGAAGGUCCUCUGGAUUGUAAACCUCUUUUGGCAGGAAACAAACCUGCGCUAUACGCGCAGCUGAGGGUACCUGCAGAAUAAGCACCGGCUAACUCCGUG
rnacentral:rRNA from 1 species